rnacentral:lncRNA from 1 species
UCCACCACUACUUCUUCACCUCAUCCUUGGACUAAUUGUUCUUCAUUGCUUGUAGUCAUUCCCUUUGCAUACACCUUUGGUUUAUACUCACUUUAAAAGUAGUCAUUACAUGAAAACCCCCAUGUCAAAGCACACACUACAAUGAGAAGAAUGUUUCAUUGUAGUCUAAUUGAUGAAAGGCAAUAAAGGUAUCAACCAUUGAUGUAAUCUAGUAGCUAAAACAAAAAUGUAAAAACAAUAACGAUUCAAGUAUUGGUACAUUUCAGAUCAUUACAAGAGACAUUUUGGGUAGCUACAAGCAAAGAAUAAAGCGCAAACUAGCAGGAGAUAGACUCAACAAGCGAAUACAACACCUUCUCUCCUUGUCAGCCCACCUUUGAACAAUUGAGCCGAACCUAACCCAAUGGUGUAGUUAAUACUUGGGUCAGGCCUACUUCCCUUGGAAGUUGUACAAAUGGUCUAGGAAGAAUUUGUAGUGAAGCACUCCAAUGCUAUAAGCACCUGCAAAUCAAAGAAAGGGAACAGACAGAAACCAUUUUUUGUUACACUACAAGAACUAGACCAAGAGCAGGACUUGUAAAAUCACAGUAAUACAAAACCAAAGGUCCAAAACCAAUGGCCCAUUUGCAAGAAAUGAGAAAUCAAAUUAAUGAAACACAAAUCACAAUCAUCUUAAAUAGAGCAGAGGUCAUUCAAAACCUACGACACUCUAGAAGAUGCGUUAAUGAACCAGGAAAUAUUCAAAGAAAUCAUAAAAGUGAUCUAUCUUAGCCUAAUGUUAAUAUAAAAGAUUUAUAAGUGCAAGAACAUAUGAUUCUCCAUUUGGUUGCUGCUAUGAGAAAUUGAAAUAUUGAAUCCAACAUCCAACAAAUGAAAAAGACAAAACAAUUUCUUUGUCUUUUCGAAACUACAAAGCAAGAUAAGGGCUUCAAAGAGUUUACCCUUUUUCAUGGUCUUAGUUUUUUAUCAACCAAAAUGGAGAAAAAAAAAUAUACAGUUGAGAAUCACUGGGAAAAAAUGGAGAAAAUUAACAAGUCUCAUAUUGAAUAGUGAAAAAAAUAAUGAUAAAUGCAAGUGAACAUCAAGAUAAAGGAACAAGAAAAAUCACUUCAAGACCAAAUUUGGAACCCAUAUCGAAUUCAGAAAAAAUACAAGAAACCCAUAUCAAAAUCAACAAUAAAG